CUAGACUGUAUUAGGACACUUAGGGCCCUAUUUAGAUGGGGCCCUAUUUAGAUUUCACGUAAUUAAUGUGGUUGUGGAGGAUGUGAUAGUUAAAUGUUAAAUAUGAAGUACAACUAUGGUGCUGUAGAGUCAUCAACUUUGUAUCAAUUCCUUCACUGCGAUAAUGUUAGUCCAAAAGGAAUGUACAAUUAAUUCAGUAAUUCGGCUGCUAGAAAUGUUUGUAUUAGCCUGCUAAAGCCAGGUUAUCCUUAAGGGGACAAUUCACCCACAAUGUUCACUGUGUGCUGCCAUUAAUCCCCAAUGAAGAGCAUCUUAAUUAUGAGCUUUCAUGGUGAACUUAUAUUCCAAAAUUAUCAUCUCUGAUGCAAUAGAAAAGCACUGGAUCUAUACAUUUUUUUAUUGUUUAUGUUAUUCACACUGAUGUAAUAUUAAGCACAUUUUUUAAUCAUGAUCACAUGUUUUAUAUCCUUUCCUGUAAUAGAUGACAUUGUGGAAGAAGGCUGUUCAGCUCCCAGUGCAGUGCUGCGACGGAAGAGGAAAGGGACAAAAAAUGAAGCUGGUGGAGUGGGAGCCGUGCAAACUCUGGUAUGUAUGACUUCUGAUUUGUAGCACAUGGCCAGUUAGAGUGAUAACGAAUCG
rnacentral:lncRNA from 15 species